rnacentral:rRNA from 1 species
AGGGCACCACCAGGAGUGGAGCCUGCGGCUUAAUUUGACUCAACACGGGGAAACUCACCCGGCCCGGACACCGUAAGGAUUGACAGAUUGAUAGCUUUUUCAUGAUUCGGUGGAUGGUGGUGCAUGGCCGUUCUUAGUUCGUGGAGCGAUUUGUCUGGUUUAUUCCGAUAACGAGCGAGACUCUAGCCUACUAAAUAGUUCGCACAUUGUCUCUGUGUGUGUGACUUCUUAGAGGGAUUUUCGGUGUUCAGCCGCACGAAAUUGAGCAAUUACAGGUCUGUGAUGCCCUUAGAUGUCCGGGGCUGCACGCGCGCUACACUGGCAAAAUCAGCGUGCUUGUCCUUCCCCGAAAGGGGUUGGUAAACCCUUGAAAAUUUGCCGUGAUUGGGAUUGGAAAUUGCAAUUAUUUCCAUGAACGAGGAAUUCCAAGUAAGUGCGAGUCAUCAGCUCGCGUUGAUUACGUCCCUGCCCUUUGUACACAUCGCCCGUCGCUGCCCGGGACUGAGCCAUUUCGAGAAC